AUUGAACGCUGGCGGCAGGCCUAACACAUGCAAGUCGAGCGGAGCGGCGGACGGGGAAGUGAUGCCUAGGGAUCUGCCUGUUAGUGGGGUAUACCUUCCGGGGACGGGCGCUAAGACCGCAUGCUAUCAGAUGCGCCUAGGUCGGAUUAGCUAGUUGGUGGGGUAAAGGCCUACCCAGGCGACGAUCCGUAACUGGUCUGAGAGGAUGAUCAGUCACACUGGAACUGAGACACGGCCCAGACUCCUACGGGAGGCAGCAGUGGGGAAUAUUGGACAAUGGGCGAAAGCCUGAUCCAGCCAUGCCGCGUGUGUGAAGAAGGUCUUCGGAUGGUAAAGCACUGUAAGUUGGGAGGCGUUACCAACAGAAUAAGCACCGGCUAACUUCGUGCCAGCAGCCGCGGUAAUAC
rnacentral:rRNA from 1 species